GGAGGGAUGGCCGAGCGGUUUAAGGCGCAUGCCUGGAAAGCGUGUAGAGAUAAAAAACUCUCGCGGGUUCGAAUCCCGCUCCCUCCG
rnacentral:tRNA from 1 species